GAUGAACGCUAGCUACAGGCUUAACACAUGCAAGUCGAGGGGUAACGAGAGGAAAGCUUGCUUUCCUUGUCGACGACCGGCGCACGGGUGAGUAACGCGUAUCCAACCUGCCCCCAACUAGGGAAUAACCUUGCGAAGGUAAGACUAAUACCCUAUAAUUUCCUCAGAUGACAUCUGACGAGGAAUAAAGAUUUAUCGGUUGUGGAUGGGGAUGCGUCUGAUUAGCUUGUUGGCGGGGUAACGGCCCACCAAGGCAACGAUCAGUAGGGGCUCUGAGAGGAAGGUCCCCCACAUUGGAACUGAGACACGGUCCAAACUCCUACGGGAGGCAGCAGUGAGGAAUAUUGGUCAAUGGGCGGAAGCCUGAACCAGCCAAGUAGCGUGCAGGAUGACGGCCCUAUGGGUUGUAAACUGCUUUUAUACAGGAAUAAAGUUAGCCACGUGUGGUUAUUUGUAGGUACUGUAUGAAUAAGGACCGGCUAAUUCCGUGCCAGCCGCCGCAGUAA
rnacentral:rRNA from 1 species